rnacentral:rRNA from 1 species
GAUGAACGCUGGCGGCGUGCCUAAUACAUGCAAGUCGAGCGAACAGACGAGGAGCUUGCUCCUCUGACGUUAGCGGCGGACGGGUGAGUAACACGUGGAUAACCUACCUAUAAGACUGGGAUAACUUCGGGAAACCGGAGCUAAUACCGGAUAAUAUAUUGAACCGCAUGGUUCAAUAGUGAAAGACGGUUUUGCUGUCACUUAUAGAUGGAUCCGCGCCGCAUUAGCUAGUUGGUAAGGUAACGGCUUACCAAGGCAACGAUGCGUAGCCGGCCUGAGAGGGUGAUCGGCCACACUGGAACUGAGACACGGUCCAGACUCCUACGGGAGGCAGCAGUAGGGAAUCUUCCGCAAUGGGCGAAAGCCUGACGGAGCAACGCCGCGUGAGUGAUGAAGGUCUUCGGAUCGUAAAACUCUGUUAUUAGGGAAGAACAAAUGUGUAAGUAACUACGCACGUCUUGACGGUACCUAAUCAGAAAGCCACGGCUAACUACGUG